GGAGAGUUGCCCGAGCGGCCAAAGGGAGCAGACUGUAAAUCUGCCGGCUUAUGCCUACGGAGGUUCGAAUCCUCCACUCUCCA
rnacentral:tRNA from 1 species